AACGAACGCUGGCGGCAGGCUUAACACAUGCAAGUCGAACGCCCCGCAAGGGGAGUGGCAGACGGGUGAGUAACGCGUGGGAACGUGCCCUUCGCUUCGGAAUAGCCCCGGGAAACUGGGAGUAAUACCGAAUACGCCGUAUUGGGAAAGAUUUAUCGGCGAAGGAUCGGCCCGCGUUAGAUUAGCUAGUUGGCGGUGUAAUGGACCACCAAGGCUACGAUCUAUAGCUGGUCUGAGAGGAUGAUCAGCCACACUGGGACUGAGACACGGCCCAGACUCCUACGGGAGGCAGCAGUGGGGAAUCUCGGACAAUGGGCGCAAGCCUGAUCCAGCCAUGCCGCGUGAGUGAAGAAGGCCUUAGGGUUGUAAAACUCUUUCGCCGGAGAAGAUAAUGACGGUAUCCGGAGAAGAAGCCCCGGCUAACUUCGUGCCAGCCGCCGCGGUAAGAC
rnacentral:rRNA from 1 species